UGCGUAGGUGGUCGGGUAAGUCUGAUGUGAAAUCCCCGAGCUUAACUUGGGAAUUGCAUUCGAUACUGGGAAGCUAGAGUAUGGGAGAGGAUGGUAGAAUUCCAGGUGUAGCGGUGAAAUGCGUAGAGAUCUGGAGGAAUACCGAUGGCGAAGGCAGCCAUCUGGCCUAAUACUGACGCUGAGGUACGAAAGCAUGGGGAGCAAACAGGAUUAGAUACCCCUGUA
rnacentral:rRNA from 1 species